rnacentral:rRNA from 1 species
CGAACGCUGGCGGCGUGCUUAAUACAUGCAAGUCGUGCGAGAAAGUUUCCUUCGGGAAAUGAGUAAAGCGGCGAACGGGUGCGUAACACGUGGGCAACCUGCCUUCAGGACGGGGAUAAGCUUCCGAAAGGGGGUCUAAUACCGGAUAACAUCACUUUUUGGCAUCAUUUUGUGAUCAAAGGUGGCUUCGGCUACUACCUGAAGAUGGGCCCGCGUUCCAUUAGCUUGUUGGUGAGGUAACGGCUCACCAAGGCUGCGAUGGAUAGCCGACCUGAGAGGGUGAUCGGCCACACUGGGACUGAGAUACGGCCCAGACUCCUACGGGAGGCAGCAGUAGGGAAUUUUGCGCAAUGCCCGAAAGGGUGACGCAGCAACGCCGCGUGGGGGAUGAAGCUUCUUGGAGCGUAAACCCCUGUCAGGAGGGACGAAUUGUUCCAUCUCUAAUAUAGGUGGAAUUUGACGGUACCUUCAGAGGAAGCUCCGGCCAACUCC